CUGGAGUAUUGUCGCUGUCGUUGUAGCUGUAAGCGGUAUGCUGUAUGCUGUGGACUGUUUGCUGUUUCCAUGUUUCCUGUUUGCUGGUUCCUGUUCCCUGUCUCCAGUUUGCCUGCUCCUGGUUCCUGACAUCAUGACAUUUUCUUGUGGAAGUCCAAAGACCACCUCUACAGGCACCCAGAUGCAGGCACGGAUAAACCUUCCAAUAACUCCAGCUAUCGUCUGUUAGGUCAGACUGGCCCCCCGUACCUUGCCGUGGUCAGGAUCUCCAGCGGGAAAACAUAAACAGGCCAUAAAUCAGCCACAGGUUGAUCGUUGAGAAAAGGAACAUGCCUCCAACUCUCCCCGCCUCGCUGGACCCUGUAAAUACAUCAAUGACACGGCCUCCUUGUGGAGCAGUCAAGAUGGCACCCUCUUGGCCCUUCUUGAGCUCAUGUUUGCACAGGAUGCCAACACCGUCAGCAUGCUAAAGCUGAUGCUAAGGCUAUUCUGUUUUAUGUAAUGGUAAUGCUUUAUUCCAGACAUGCAACACGUUACAUUAAAGAAUAUUUCCAACAUGCAGAAUUCACUGGGCCAAAAAGGAAUAGGAAGAUGCAUGCAUAGCUUAUUUUAACCAGCUUACUUUUUAUGUUUGUACGUCACAAGGGGAUGAAAAAAUAGUAGACAAUGUUUACAUUCUGUGUACAUUCUGUGUAAAAAUGAUGAAGGAAGGAAAAGUGUUGAAAAAUACAAUAUAAGAACAUAGGAGUAAAAUACUGUUUGUACAAUUAUUAAGGAAGAGGAAAAUAAUAAUUAAAUUAAAAAUGAUGAAGUAGUAAAAGUAGCAAUAACAAAAGUGAUUAA